rnacentral:rRNA from 1 species
UACGUAGGCAGCGAGCGUUGUUCGGAGUUACUGGGCGUAAAGGGUGUGUAGGCGGCCUCUUAAGUUUGGUGUGAAAUCUCCCGGCUCAACUGGGAGGGUGCGCCGAAUACUGAAUGACUUGGAGUGUGGGAGAGGUGAGUGGAAUUCCUGGUGUAGCGGUGAAAUGCGUAGAUAUCAGGAGGAACACCGGUGGUGUAGACGGCUCACUGGACCAUAACUGACGCUGAGACACGAAAGCGUGGGUAGCAAACAGG